rnacentral:rRNA from 1 species
GUGUGGGGGACAUUCCACGUUUUCCGCGCCGUAGCUAACGCAUUAAGUGCCCCGCCUGGGGAGUACGGCCGCAAGGCUAAAACUCAAAGGAAUUGACGGGGGCCCGCACAAGCGGCGGAGCAUGCGGAUUAAUUCGAUGCAACGCGAAGAACCUUACCAAGGCUUGACAUGAACCGGAAAGACCUGGAAACAGGUGCCCCGCUUGCGGUCGGUUUACAGGUGGUGCAUGGUUGUCGUCAGCUCGUGUCGUGAGAUGUUGGGUUAAGUCCCGCAACGAGCGCAACCCUCGUUCUAUGUUGCCAGCGGUUCGGCCGGGGACUCAUAGGAGACUGCCGGGGUCAACUCGGA